GCCCCUGUAGCAUAGCGGUUAAUGCGUCGCUUUCGUAAAGCGAAGAUCGCAGGUUCAAAUCCUGCCAGGGGCU
rnacentral:tRNA from 1 species